GUGCUCACUUUGGCAGCACAUAUACUAACAUUAGACCCACACGGAGGAGAUUGGCACGGCCCCUGAGCAAGAGUGACAUGCACAUUCGUGUAGCGUUUUAUAUAAAG